rnacentral:rRNA from 1 species
AACAAACGCUGGCGGCGUGUCUUAAGCAUGCAAGUUGAGCGGCAAGGGCAGCAAUGCCCCUAGAGCGGCGGACUGGUGAGUAACGCGUGGGUGAUCUACCCAAGGCAUGGGGAUAGCCAUUAGAAAUAGUGGGUAAUACCGAAUACGCUUGUGCAGGUAAGCUGCAUAAGGAAAGGUGCUACGGCACCGGCCUAGAGAUGAGCCCGCGUCCCAUUAGCUAGUUGGUGAGGUAACGGCCCACCAAGGCGAUGAUGGGUAGCCGGCCUGAGAGGGUGUACGGCCACACUGGGACUGAGAUACGGCCCAGACUCCUACGGGAGGCAGCAGCUAAGAAUAUUCCGCAAUGGACGAAAGUCUGACGGAGCGACGCCGCGUGGAUGAAGAAGGCCGAAAGGUUAGUAAAAUCCUUUUGCUGAGGAAGAAUAAGUGUGGGAGGGAAUGCCCGCAUGAUGACAUGAAUCGGCGAAUAAGCCCCGGCCAACUACGUG